rnacentral:rRNA from 1 species
UACGUAGGGGGCGAGCGUUGUCCGGAAUCAUUGGGCAUAAAGAGCGUGUAGGCGGCUUGGAAAGUCUUACGUGAAAGCCUGCGGCUCAACCGCAGAAGUGCGUAGGAAUCUUCCUCGCUAGAGUCCGGAAGAGGAGAGCGGAAUUCCUGGUGUAGCGGUGGAAUGCGCAGAUAUCAGGAGGAACACCCGUGGCGAAGGCGGCUCUCUGGGACGGUACUGACGCUGAGACGCGAAAGCGUGGGGAGCGAACAGG